rnacentral:lncRNA from 1 species
GUCUUUACAUCGGAAUUAAACACAUUUAUUUAAAAACCAUUUGUUGGCAUGACACGGGUUAUGUUCUUCUCUUAAAUAUUUUAUGUGUAUAAUACUGAACCCCUAACGUAGUUGCCUGAUAUUCCUAUAAUGAAGACAUAAUCGUUCAAUCAGUUUAAUUGAGGUCUGGAGCUGGCAUGCCAGUAAUGUAGUCUGUUGUUAUUUAUGUAUUGUUGUCAUUUUUUUAAUUAUUUUUUUUACCUCUUCUGAGAUCGGACUCGGACUUCUCUUGAACUGAAUUUUACUGUGCAUAUAGUUAUGCGUUUACUCUUCUACAUUGGCCAGAGGUAUAGGGGGAGGGUUGAGAUCUCAAAAACAUGUUUAACCCUACAGUAUUUUUUUCGCCUGUCACAAGUCAGGAGCCUCAGGCCUUUGUUAAUCUUGAAUUAUUUUAAAUUUUAUUUAAUUUCAGUUUUUAGUUUUUAAUUUGUUUAGCAUGUCUUCCAUUAUCACUGAACUAGUAUGUAUAUUUUAUUUUAGGGGCAAACUGAAGAACGCAUCCGGGCGCGGAAGUUUUUCGCUGCACUGAAGACCUAUUGGUGACUUUCUGAUGUUGUCUGUUCUAUGGUCGGGUUGUUGUCUCUUUGACACAUUCCCCAUUUCCAUUCUCAAUAUUAGAAAAGGGUAUUGUCUAUUUAAAAAGAUAGAAGAUACAAAAUUAUUUUGUCUGAAGCUUUCAGGGAGAAUUAUAAAACCCUUGACAUAAAAUUAUCCAUAUUUUGAGUUAGAGACGGGAGAUCAUACCAUAAUGCCCGGCC